rnacentral:rRNA from 1 species
GACGAACGCUGGCGGCGUGCUUAACACAUGCAAGUCGAACGAUGAAGCCGGAGCUUGCUCCGGUGGAUUAGUGGCGAACGGGUGAGUAACACGUGAGCAAUCUGCCCUUGACUCUGGGAUAACUGCGGGAAACUGUAGCUAAUACCGGAUACGACACCUUGGGGCAUCCCAGGGUGUGGAAAGAAUUUCGGUCAAGGAUGAGCUCGCGGCCUAUCAGCUAGUUGGUGAGGUAAUGGCUCACCAAGGCGACGAAGGGUAGCCGGCCUGAGAGGGGGACCGGCCACACGAGAACCGGUACACGGUCCUGACUCGUACGGGAGGCAGCAGUGGGGAAUAUUGCACAAUGGGCGAAAACCUGAUACAGCAUCGCGGCGUGAGGGAUGAAGGCCUUCGGGUUGUAAACCUCUUUUAGCAGGGAAGAAGCGGAAGUGACGGUACCUGCAGAAAAAGCACCGGCUAACUACGUGCCAGCAGCCGCCGUAA